rnacentral:rRNA from 1 species
AUUGAACGCUGGCGGCAGGCUUAACACAUGCAAGUCGAACGAUGACUCUCUAGCUUGCUAGAGAUGAUUAGUGGCGGACGGGUGAGUAACAUUUAGGAAUCUACCUAGUAGUGGGGGAUAGCUCGGGGAAACUCGAAUUAAUACCGCAUACGACCUACGGGUGAAAGGGGGCGCAAGCUCUUGCUAUUAGAUGAGCCUAAAUCAGAUUAGCUAGUUGGUGGGGUAAAGGCCCACCAAGGCGACGAUCUGUAACUGGUCUGAGAGGAUGAUCAGUCACACCGGAACUGAAACACGGUCCGGACUCCUACGGGAGGCAGCAGUGGGGAAUAUUGGACAAUGGGGGCAACCCUGAUCCAGCCAUGCCGCGUGUGUGAAGAAGGCCUUUUGGUUGUAAAGCACUUUAAGCAGGGAGGAGAGGCUAAUGGUUAAUACCCAUUAGAUUAGACGUUACCUGCAGAAUAAGCACCGGCUAACUCUGUG